AGAGUUUGAUCCUGGCUCAGGACGAACGCUGGCGGCGUGCCUAAUACAUGCAAGUCGAACGAGAGCGACCGGUGCUUGCACUGGUCAAUCUAGUGGCGAACGGGUGAGUAACACGUGGGUAACCUGCCCAUCAGAGGGGGAUAACAUUCGGAAACGGAUGCUAAAACCGCAUAGGUCUUCGAACCGCAUGGUUUGAAGAGGAAAAGAGGCGCCAGCUUCUGCUGAUGGAUGGACCCGCGGUGCAUUAGCUAGUUGGUGAGGUAACGGCUCACCAAGGCCGUGAUGCAUAGCCGACCUGAGAGGGUGAUCGGCCACAUUGGGACUGAGACACGGCCCAAACUCCUACGGGAGGCAGCAGUAGGGAAUCUUCCGCAAUGGACGCAAGUCUGACGGAGCAACGCCGCGUGAGUGAAGAAGGUUUUCGGAUCGUAAAACUCUGUUGUUAGAGAAGAACAAGUGCUAGAGUAACUGUUAGCACCUUGACGGUAUCUAACCAGAAAGCCACGGCUAACUACGUGCCAGCAGCCGCGGUAAUACGUAGGUGGCAAGCGUUGUCCGGAUUUAUUGGGCGUAAAGCGAGCGCAGGCGGUUCCUUAAGUCUGAUGUGAAAGCCCCCGGCUCAACCGGGGAGGGUCAUUGGAAACUGGGGAACUUGAGUGCAGAAGAGGAGAGUGGAAUUCCAUGUGUAGCGGUGAAAUGCGUAGAUAUAUGGAGGAACACCAGUGGCGAAGGCGACUCUCUGGUCUGUAACUGACGCUGAGGCUCGAAAGCGUGGGUAGCAAACAGGAUUAGAUACCCUGGUAGUCCACGCCGUAAACGA
rnacentral:rRNA from 1 species